UCUGAACUCAAAUCAGGUAAGAUUACCCGCUGAAUUUUAAGCAUAUUAAUAAGCGGAGGAAAAGAAACUAACAAGGAUUCCCUUAGUAACGGCGAGUGAAGCGGGAACAGCUCAAGCUUGAAAUCGGCAGUUGGUAAACAUAUGUCGAGUUGUAGCUUUUGGAAGCAGUUUCAAGCCAGUGGUUGCGGUAAAAGUUCUUUUGAAUAAGACAUCAAAGAGGGUGAGAAUCCCGUCAUUGACCGUGAUUUAAUUGGUGAUGCGAACUGUUUUCUGCGAGUCGGGUUGUUUGGGAAUGCAGCCCUAAUUGGGAGGUAAAUUUCUUCCAAAGCUAAAUAUCAGUAAGAGACCGAUAGCAAACAAGUACCGUGAGGGAAAGAUGAAAAGCACUUUGAAAAGAGAGUGAAAAGUACGUGAAAUUGUUGAAAGGGAACCGGUUGGUAGCCAAGCAUUUCUUGGAGUUAGGGCAUUUAUGUCAGAGCGCCAGGAGGGUCAACAUCGAUUGCUGUUUAUAACUGCCAGAAAGGAAAUUGUUCAGACCAGCGGAGGAAGGUAGGGAGGUGAGUUUCCAGGACAUUUAUGGCUUGGUAUUAUGGCUUGCUUUCUGUUAUAGCCUCCAUGGGUUUGAUUUUUACGCCUAGUGGUGGUGGCGAUCGAGGACUGCAGCGCGUUUUGAGGGUUUUAUUACUCUUGAUGGCCUGAUUGUCAUUGAGCAUUGUAGUUGCGUUGCGGUAGACAGCAUGCUGACUAUUGCGGGUAGGCUAUAUGAUCUUUGGGAUUUGGGACUAAAUAGCGCUUUGGAUGUUGGCGAAAAGGCACUAAUCGACCCGUCUUGAAACACGGACCAAGGAGUCCAACAUGCAUGCGAGUAUCUGGGAAAAAUAAACCCAUAUGCGCAAUGAAAGUGAACUAGUAGAAACUUUUAUUAGAAUGUAACCGGGAGCAAUCCUGGGCAGCAUCGACCGACUUUCGAUAGCGUUGCUUGAAGAGGUUGAGUAAGAGCAUGUAUGCUGGGACCCGAAAGAUGGUGAACUAUGCCUGAAUAGGGUGAAGUCAGAGGAAACUCUGAUGAAGCUCGUAGAGAUUCUGACGUGCAAAUCGAUCUCCAAAUUUGGGUAUAGGGGCGAAAGACUA
rnacentral:rRNA from 1 species